UACAGAGGGUGCGAGCGUUGUUCGGAAUUAUUGGGCGUAAAGGGCGCGUAGGCGGCCAACUAAGUCAGACGUGAAAUCCCUCGGCUUAACCGGGGAACUGCGUCUGAUACUGGUUGGCUUGAGUUUGGGAGAGGGAUGCGGAAUUCCAGGUGUAGCGGUGAAAUGCGUAGAUAUCUGGAGGAACACCGGUGGCGAAGGCGGCAUCCUGGACCAACACUGACGCUGAGGAGCGAAAGCCAGGGGAGCAAACGGG
rnacentral:rRNA from 1 species